UUCAUUCGUGUUUCGUCAAUUGGCAUGUAUGUGUGUAUGUUUGACAAUAUUUAAUAAAUGGGGGUUGUGAUUUAUUUUACAAUAUCUCUAUUAUUGAAUAUUGCGUACAUCAUAUUUGUAUCAUUUGAUGAACGCGUGCAUUUUUCUUCUGGUAGGACGUUGCGAUCCGUUAGGUAGAAUUUAUUUCAAUCGAUCUAUGUUUUACAGUAUAGUUCAUUGAUUCAUGUAUAAUUUUUGGAUUAUUUAUGGUAAUAUUAAUGAUACUGUAUAUACUGAUCGAUUUGACUGACRGUAUGAAAAAAWGAUUACAAGUCGCUAUAUUAGCGUUAGAGGCUAAACAAAUGUAAAUAUUGUGUUAAUACUUUAAUUGUUGUUUUUCGGAAUAAUGAUUAGAGUAUAUAUAUUCGGUAAUCGAUAUUAUUUUAUCAAUUCCGAGCCGUUUUUACAUUGUUAGUUUAGCAAAAUUAUAUAUCUCUGACUGACUUUAUUAUUAUAUUAUAUGAAUGUGUAAUAUAAUAAAAUCAAUCUGCAACGCUAUAGCUUUGGGUACUUUUAGGACCCGUCUUGAAACACGGACCAAGGAGUCUAGCAUGUACGCAAGCCAUUGGGAUUAUUAAACCUAUAGGCAUAAUGAAAGUAAAAAUACAUUAUAUGUAUAAUAUAAUAAAGGAAGAUGAUUAAUGAAAUUAUUAUUAUUAUAAUUUUAUUAUUUCGCAUUCCUGGGGCGUUUAAAUUUUGUUUUAUUGUUUAUUCAAUUUAAUGAGAUUAUGCGCACCAAGAG
rnacentral:rRNA from 1 species